UACAGAGGGUGCAAACGUUGUUCGGAAUUACUGGGCGUAAAGCGAGUGUAGGCGGUCUGCUAAGUCGGGUGUGAAAGCCCUGGGCUCAACCCAGGAAGUGCACUCGAAACUGGCGGGCUAGAGUAUCGGAGAGGUUGGUGGAAUUCUCGGUGUAGAGGUGAAAUUCGUAGAUAUCGAGAGGAACACCGGUGGCGAAGGCGGCCAACUGGACGAAUACUGACGCUGAGACUCGAAAGCGUGGGGAGCAAACAGG
rnacentral:rRNA from 1 species